rnacentral:tRNA from 1 species
GGGCGAGUGGCGGAACUGGCAGACGCACACGACUCAAAAUCGUGCGGAGCAAUCCAUGAGGGUUCGAUUCCCUCCUCGCCCA